GACGAACGCUGGCGGCGUGCUUAACACAUGCAAGUCGAACGAAGAGCGAUGGAAGCUUGCUUCUAUCAAUAUUAGUGGCGAACGGGUGAGGAACGCGUAAUCAACCUGCCCUUCAGAGGGGGACAACAGUUGGAAACGACUGCUAAUACCGCAUACGAUCUAAUCUCGGCAUCGAGGAUAGAUGAAAGGUGGCCUCUAUUUAUAAGAUAUCACUGACGGAGGGGAUUGCGUCUGAUUAGCUAGUUGGAGGGGUAACGGCCCACCAAAGCGAUGAUCGGUAGCCGGUCUGAGAGGAUGAACAGCCACAUUGGGACUGUGACACGGCCCAGACUCCUACGGGGAGCAGCAGUGGGGAAUCUUCCGCAAUGGUCGAAAGUCUGACGGAGCAACGCCGCGUGAGGGAUGACGGCCUUCGGGUUGUAAAGCUCUGUUAAUCGGGACGAAAGGCCUUCUUGCGAACAGUUAGAAGGAUUGACGGUACCGGAAUAGAAAGCCACGGCUAACUACGUG
rnacentral:rRNA from 1 species